rnacentral:rRNA from 1 species
GUAGUCAUACGCUCGUCUCAAAGAUUAAGCCCAUGCAUGUGUAAGUGUAAAUUGUUAAGUUUGGAACUGCGAAUGGCUCAUUAUAUCAGUUAUAGUUUAUUUGGUGAAGUGUACUACUUGGAUAACCGAGAAGUAAUUCUAGGGCUAAUACAUGAGAAAGUCCUCUGGUGAGGUGUGUUUAUUAGAAUGAAAACCAUAUGCUUCUUUCCUGAUAGUGAGUAAUAGUAACCUAUCGUAUCGCAUGCUUAAUGUAGCGAUGAGUCUUUCAGUUCUGUCUAUCAGCUUUCGAUGGUGUUAUGGGCCUACCUGGCAUACCGGAACGAAA